rnacentral:lncRNA from 1 species
AGAUGUUUGAAUGGAUAGAUGAAGAAGAUUGAUUUUAGGCCACAAGAUCAAAAACAAUCAAUGGCCACAAAUUGUAAUUCUAAUUUUGAUUGACUAACAAAUAAAGAGAAAGUGAGAGGAUUAACUAAAAUAGACUUGUGACCUUUGGAUUAAAACCAAUCAAUGGUCCAAAAUUAAUCAAUCAAAAACAAUUUUUUUUAUUAUAGUUGUUUUAGGAAUUUAAAAUUUUAUGUUUAACUAAUUUUAUUUAUAUAAAAACUAAAUUAUAUUCUAAUUACUGAUCAUAUUUAUUUUGUAUUUAAAAAUCAGAGUUUAAAAUUUUGAGUUUAUAGUAUAUGUGAUAUGAUUUAGGGUAUAUGAUUUGUGUUAUGAUAUACAUUUAGAGUUUAGGUUUAUGGUAUUAGAUUUAAAAUUUGAAACUAAAAUGUUUUAAAAUAAGAAAAAGAUUAGAAUUUUAAGAUUUCUAGUAAGAGUUUAGGAUAUAUAAUUAAUUUAGGAUAUGAUAUGAUAUGAUAUAUAUAUAAUAUUCAUAGACAAAAAGAUUUCUAAUUAGAUCUUAUGGUAUAUGAUUAUUUUAAAAAAUAAUAAAAAGAUUAGAAUUUAAAUAUUUUUAGUUAUAGUUUAGGGUAUAUGAUUAAUUUUUAAAAUUAGUUUUCAAGUUUGGAGUUUAGAAUAAGGUUUGAGUAGAGAGUUUGAAAGUUAAAGGUUUGGGGUAUUGAUUUAAGAUUUUAGGUUAAUUUCAAAAAAUAUUAAUUUUUGAGUUUAUAUUUAAGAUUGAAGUUAAAUUUGAGAUUUGAUAUUAAAAUAUUAGCGUUUAAAAUUUUUGUUAGAAUUUAAGGGUUGUGUUUAAAAUUUUGGUUUUAGUGUUUAGGAUUUUUGGAGGCAAAUAAAAUGGAGUGAGAGGAAAAAUGAAACAAGGGUGAGAGGGAAAAUCAAUUAUUUUCCGCUUU